rnacentral:siRNA from 1 species
CGAGAACUAUCGCAUCACGCCA